GGCAGGCACGCGCCGGAUUGUCUCGGAGUUGCCUUCGGGCGGCAGCACCCUUCGCGGUGUGGAUCACGAGCCGGGGGCCUGCCCUUUA
rnacentral:sRNA from 1 species